rnacentral:rRNA from 1 species
UUAACAAAAACAUGUCUUUUUGAGUUAUUUUAAAAGUCUGACCUGCCCACUGAAAUUAUUUAAAUGGCCGCAGUAUUCUAACUGUGCAAAGGUAGCAUAAUCAUUAGUCUUUUAAUUGAAGGCUGGUAUGAACGGUUGGACGAGGUAUAAGCUGUUUCAUAUAAAUUUAUAAUAGAAUUUUAUAUUUUAGUCAAAAAGCUAAAAUUUAAUUAAAAGACGAGAAGACCCUAUAAAUCUUUAUAUUUUAAGUUGUUUAAAUUUUUUAGAUUAAUUUUAUUUUUAUAAUUUAGAGUAUUUUGUUGGGGUGAUAUUAAAAUUUAAUGAACUUUUAGUUGUUAAAAAUCAUUAAUUUAUGAGUUAUUGAUCCAUUAAUAGUGAUUAUAAGAUUAAGUUACUUUAGGGAUAACAGCGUAAUUUUUUUGGAGAGUUCAUAUCGAUAAAAAAGUUUGCGACCUCGAUGUUGGAUUAAGAUAUAUUUUUAGGUGUAGCCGCUUAAAUAUUAAGUCUGUUCGACUUUUAAAUUCUUACGUGAUCUGAGUUC